UUUAUUCCCUUUCUCCCUCUCGAUCCACUUUAUUCAAAGCAUGCCCGUUUGUCGAGGAGAUGGAGCUAUUAUACAUUUCAGCUCCAGAAAUACGUACAUAUAUAUAUAUAUAAAAUAACAACGACAAGCAGCAUCUAGAGUACGUCGAAAAGUGGAAGGUAUCGACAGGGGUUAGCCAUUCUUUCGCAACGACAGGAAAUGAAAACCGGCUCUCUUCUAAGGAGACUCGACAACGGUGCACACAGGCGGGUAUACACGAAACGGAGAGAGGCGAUUUCCACGAUAACGCGUCUAUAAAGCGCGGCGGAAGGAUCGAUCUCGCGGCACGCAAGAUUGCUUUCUUUCGCGCGGCCGAAACGUGCGUACACGCUCGACACGAUUUAUUAAUAACCUCUUUGUGCGAAAGUGUUCUGCCGCGCGAUGAUCGAAACGGAAGGAGGGGGGAAAGGAAUAAAGAAACGUUCUCCUUCCGACUAACCCUUUAAAUUAUUCGAUUCGCAAAGGUGUUCUCCCGCUUUUCCAUUUAAUCGAAGUGGAAUUAAAAUCGAGAAGACGUAAAGGAAUGCAAAGGGAUCCCCUCGGUAUCGGGGGGAGGGGAGGACACGCCGCGUACGAAUAUAGCGUGUAAUAGACGGCGUCGAUUCUCGUAUACGGCACGUUCAUUGCCGGAAACGGAAGCUCCACCUUAGUCGCUGACUACGACAACGUUCGCGCGAGCGUACACACGACUGGAGAAGAAUGUCGCAUGGCAUACCUGAAAAUCGGAUCGUCUGUCAAACGGGCAAACACGUCGUUCCAUUUCGUCUCGAUUUCGUCUCGAUUUCGGACCGGAAGGAUCGAGCGAUAGAAUUAACCGAGUCCAAGUUUUAUAUUAAAUCGAGGCGGCAAUUGGAGAGCGAGAGAGAAGGAACGAGACGAUUCGAGGCGCCGAUUAAUGAGGAUCGUGGCGACGCCGAAUGGCGCGAGCGUAUGGUUCAUUGGGAAGGAGAGCCUCUUUUCCAAUGAAUGAAUCGGCCAUCUCGCGAGAAGGCCAACGUCCGGAUGGAACAUCGUAAUUCGACGAAAAUGCGAUUGGGCGCAAGGCCACCCGAGUUGUGUCUUUCUCUCUGAUCCGGUGCCAACAACCUCCGUAUUAGAUUUGGAAAGUCUUUCGACCGAUCUAUCUCUCGUUAUUGAUACUCGAGAAAUCAAACGGCACGCUUAGUUCCAUUUCGUCUUCUCGAGACAGUUAACACGCGAUGUAUAUAUGUGAAAUUUUCGUGGGGGAAGGGAACGACGGAGGCGGUCGAAUCAAUGUUUUUUCCGGCCCAGCCGUUCCAAUCGCGAAUACUCGCUCGUGUCACGGCGGAGCGGAGGCCGUGCGUGGAAGAAAAAUUACUGCUCGCGCGAAAUUUCCCUUUCGGUCGCACGAGCGAAGGACGCAGGAGGCUCGUUCGGUCAGAAAGGAAAUCAACGACGUAAUUACUCACAUCCCAAUCACGAACGAUCCAGAAUCGUUCCAUUGAAUCGGGUCACGAAUUAUUACGGAACGAGUCGACUUCAAAGCGGCCAACGGCCGCUAAAUAUUAUAUUAUUGGACGCCGGUUCCGGCGACCUUAAACGCACGGUCCACGAAUCGAGAGAGAGAGACCGGCCUGACAUUUUAAUACGUUUUAAACCUCGACUUCCGAAUAAAGGUUCGACCGCCCGCACGAAUCCCUCGCAUCCGUCGGAACUGUGGACGGCUGGCGCCCGAAAUUAUUUUCACGACUGCACUUUGCGGACCGACCAUCGAUAUCUCCUUCCUCGCACGUGUCCACUGCGAUCGACCGAGUCGCAACCGGACAGAGAGGCAAAAUUUUUCUUUUCGAAGGAACCGAAAGGACGGAAAUUCCUUUACGAAUUCGAACAACGCGUGUAUUAACGAGCCCAUUGUGACGAUCCUCGAUUUCAGAGUGCGUGCUAGUUGAAGUUUUUAGCUUCGCAAUAGUUUACACGCGAAGUAUGCUUCCAUGUCGAAAUAGAUAAAAAGGAGCGUACGGAGUAAUGAAUUCGUCCGAAUGGAUACGCCCAUUGUGACCUAAGACGAGAAGAUAUAGAUUUCAUAUGCAAUUACGAUUAAAAUUUUCAGCUCCAAUAUUGAGAUACAUAUGUGCAUACGCGAAAUUUGAAAAUAUUUAAAUUUCUGAAAAGUUUUUUUAAAGGCGUCUCUUCCAAUUAUAAGGAGUAUAAUAAAGGUGACCAAAUAUCCGUGCGACCGUCACGACAAUUACAUUCACGGGUGGGAAGUCGCGUGUACGAAGAACAUUUAGGGAGAGACAUAACUCUCCUCUUUUGUCGCCGCCAAUUAAUUCCGGGAUCCGGCUGACGCAGGGCGACGCUUGCUUUCUUGCGUGCGUGCGUGCAUUCGUUAUGAUAAUUUUAUCGAUAAAAAAAAAAUUAUCGCGAAAAAGAUACGGUUCGUUCAAUGGCAAAGAGGUUUCAGUCCAAAUGUCACUCGUAAUCGAUCCAAAUGACCCUCGUGCGCGAAGGACAGACGCCCGCGUGUCCAUUUAAACCGCACUCGAAAUCCCUAUGCGAAAGAUUACCGACGUGCGUCAUACGCGUUCCGUUUGACGCGAUCGAAAAUUGUCGAAAAUAAUAUUCGGUUGUAAGAUCGAACGAAAAAUGAUACGUUUCGUCAAUUCUAUCGGCCUCAAUAUGAUACAAUACCUCCGUGCGAGGUUCUGGAAAACGCGACUUAUAUUUGUAAUUUGACUGAUCUUAAAUAUCCGUAUGCGCAGCUUUGGAAAAGACACUCGGUAAGGCAGUGGUCUGGAAUAUCGAUCGAGCGUAGACUCGCGAAGACUAGGGCCUAAUUGGCGAGGAAGGGAAAGAGAGACAGAUAGAAAAGAGCUGAUCGGUGGUUACGAGGGGAAGAGCGAGACAACGAUUUCAAAGCGGUGUUAUAUUCGUUCGAAGAAGAAAGCACCCGCUUCCCCUUCUCGAAAAAAUAAAAUUAUUCGCUCGUUUCGAAUUCAAGAAGCUAAGCUCGACCACCCUCUCGCUAAAAGAAGUUUUCUUUCUCGAAAUCUCUCUCGUGGUAAUAAAAAGUGGAGAAGGGAUUAUAUCCAGCAGCGCUAUAAACGACAGUUCAAAAAAAAAAAAAAACUCUCGAAUUCUUUCGAUCGUAAAAUUCCAACGGCGUUAUUUUUACAAUUUCAAAAGAAUUCUAAAAUAUUCUUCGUAGUGGUGGAUAGCGAUAACGCGACCUUGAACGUUUUAUCUUAUCGCUUAAACGAACUUUCGCUUCGGAUUUUCACAUAGCUCGGCCAUUACUAAUUUCCUAAUCGUUCGAAAUUCCUUAUCGUUUCCUUUCAUCUUCUCUUGAACAUUUACCAUUGCUCGUCGAUCGUUGAUCGAAAAACAAAAAGAAAAAGAAACAAAUUUACAUCGAAGAGAAGAUUCGACACACGGUGCGUCCCGCCGCUACCUUCGAAAGAGAAAGUGGUAGGAGUGCGCGUAUACGUAUGGGUGGUUAUUUUUUUCCGCGAUAGAGAAUUGAUUCGAGGCGAAUUACCAACGUUUGCGGGCGAAGGAGGGAAAGAAGGAAGGAAGGGUCGGUCGGUGCCUUCGGUAUCGAUUUGGAUGAUUCAUGGGGGCUCUCUCCACCGGUGGCCACCACCCCCGCAAUAUUCCAACCCCAUGGCUUAUCCCUAGAACGGAGGGGGGCACGAAAGAAGACUUGGCAUUUAGGGGAGGCAUAUACCGAACGAGGCUUUGCGAAAAAAAAAGGGGGAGUUGAAAUGGAACGAAAACGUAUUUUUAAAAGGAUAUUUUUUUCCCAAACGCGACGUCCUUGCGUCCCUGCAAAAAUCUCGACCGAGAUCGAUCGAGAUUUUUCGGGCGCCGGUACAACAGGUUUUUGGGACAAAUCUGGACUGCCAGAGGUACACGCGUGUAGUAUGCACGCGCGUAUGCUUCGAGCGGCCGAGCACGGCUCGUAAGCACAUCUGGCCACAGAUUCAAGGCCGGACAAUCAACUUUGUAUAGAACCUCUCCCUCUCGUCGGUACGUACAUACGUAUCCUCGUGCAUGAUACCCAAGGACAAACGCUUUCCCCAAUCGUGUUAUUUAUAAAUGCUCGUCGAUCGAGACGAUUUAAAAAGCGAGCGAGGGGAAAUUAGAUUCGAGGGAAAAUUUUGGAGAGGAAUUUUACGGACCUCGAUUCUAAAUAAAAAUACUUCGUAAUAGGAAACUCGACGACUACUUUUACGACUGUGUUUAUCUCCGUUGCUCCUCUCUGAAAAAAAUGUAAAUACAGGCAAAAGUGGAUGUGUUUAGAGAUGAUGGCUGAGCAAAGUUUCCCGCUAUCCGCAGCUCGAGGGGUUCCGAUAAGCGGUUGUAAAUAGCAGGAACUCGGUAAAAACUUUUCUUACGAAACGAUCGAAAGAAAGGAAGAAGAAGAAGGAAAAAAAAAAGAGAUCGAUCGCGAAAUCCUCCUAGGCCGAAACUUUCGGCUCGAUAUCCCUCCACUUGUUCCGGUAUCCUUUGGCUUCGGUAUAGCGUUACCGCAAAGGUGGUUAGCGUGCCAACGUUCGGAGAACAACUGGCUUUAGCCACGUUUCACCACCCUGCCGCGAUUCAACCGUGCGUCGCGGCAAUUUUCGAAGAUAAUUCCCGCGCGCACGACACUCGCGUAAAAUAAAGCUGGUUCGGGUGAAAAAUCCGUCCGAGGCGUUACUCGACACUCGCGAUCCUCUUUUGGCCUAAUCUGCGAAGAUGAUCUGCUGCGCGCUGCUGAAUCACGGUUUUUAAAAGGAAGAGGCGUCGUUGAUGCGACACGCUAUGUAACGGUUACGUCGGAAAAUGCGACGUUUCGAGUCAUGAUAUUUGAAAAAAUGAAUUUCGGAUGUUUAUAUUCUCGAAACGAGAUAACGCUUCGAAUCGCGCGCAAAGUUCAACGAAUACCUACUCAUCCGUGAUCGCCAAAUGUACGGUGGAAAGUUCUCUUAUUCGAGAAGUUUUUAUAACGUUUUUGGACGAAAUGGGACAUCGAAACCGAACGAUCUUUCAUCAGAUCAAACUUCCCGAAUUAGACGAUUCAGUCGACCUAAGAAUAAAUUACCGCUUGGCUCGAUUCAAAUAAGCAUAGGCCGUAAACUGAAGCGCCGCUGUGAGAAUAACCGUGAGCGAGAGAGAGAGAGCUCGAAACGUUGGUUUAAAAGUUAAACCGUCUUCCAGCAACGAGAUCAAGCGUUAAUUCGAUACUUCCUGCUGGCUGGACGAGAGAGGAAAUUUUUCUCGAGGAUUUACUACAACGAGGAAACGAAUCGAUCAGGUGGAUGGCUGCAAAUGAGCCCGUAUAUACAAGACCAGGAAGCGAGGGAUUUGGAAAGUAGAGGGAAACGAGAAAGAAGAGCCGGGUUGUUCCUACCUGCGUGCGAGAUUACGCAUAUUUGUGGCUCAAAGGACCGUCGUCAGGGCCAACGGAUCGAGCAACCUUGCGAGCAACCUCCAUCCACCAGGAACGAGAUAAAGAGACACGGAAUGAAAUGAAGCAGCAACUGGAGAGUUUUGCUGAUGCGAGUGACGCAAUAAAUUAUAACGCGAUAUCUCGACCGCUGUGGAAGGGCAGAAUGUCGGCGAACACGAUGGAAGCAUGCAAGAAGAAACAUCGGAGCGCGUCGUUUUGUUCGGCAACGGUAACAUUGUUGUAACACGAGAAGAUAUUGUCCACUUGACAACGGAGCCACGGCUUGGAAGAGAAUCACUCUGGGUGCACGUGAUGCCCAACCGAUACACGCAGUCUCUACCUUUUCGUUCUGCCUUUAGAAAAUCGUCAACGGUUCUCGAUUGUUCCACCUAGUGUCGUUACCACAAUUCCGUGCGAUCUCGUUAAAUAAUCGCGAAACAGAAAUGAAUAGAUAAUGGGACAAAUGACGAAUGAAGCGAAAAAUCGGCCGAGUCGAAAAAUAAUCGAGCAAUUGUUUCUGAUCGAUCAUUGCGUUCGGUUAAAUGUUCUUCCUUUCUUUUUUUUUUUUCCGCCCCUUUUCACAUUGCCCAAAUUCCAAAUUGAAUUUAAAACGAUCGAAACGUAAUGUUACCUGUGGCAGGUAAGUAGGAGAAGGAGAAGAGGAAGAAGACAAGAAAGAAAGAAAGCAAAUGGAGAGAAAGAAACUGGAUAUAGACGAAAGAGAGGCUUGAGAGGAAGAAAGAAGAAGAGGGGAAGUAGCGAAAAGAGGCGGCGGUGGUGGUGGUGGUGAUGGUGGUGGUGGACGUUUGAAAUGGACGAACGGAGGUUCGAGAAAAGGCGGUCCUCGAGGCUCCUUGUCCCCGACGUUUAAUUUCAGGCAGUCCGAGAAGCUCGUAACAUCUCUGCAGUGUUUAACAUCGAGAAGAGGGCCUUGGGAAGAAGAUCAACCCAGAACCAGUUCUCGCGCCUUAAACAGGCGGUUCUCACGCAUUUAUAGCCCUUCAUCACGCUUUCCAUUCGACCUAAUUGCCGCGAUCGAGCCCGUGAGAACCACUGUUUCGCCUACCGUUUUGCAAAAAAUUGAAAAUCGCGUUAAAAUCGAAGUUUUCCGCUUAAAAUUUGCCAAUCUCGAACGAUAAAUGUGAAAAAUAACACGGUCGAUUAUUGAACAAGAAAGAGAAAAAACCGUAUUUUCACCAAGAUUGUGCCAAUUACGUAACGGGGACAAGAUGAAAGGAAAGCAAGAAGAAUUGAAUAACAUUUAUCGCAGUGCAACGAUAGUUGAGAAUUACUGACUCGAGAUUUGACGAUUGUUUCAUGAUCGAUAACACGGACGUAUAUAAAAGAAAGUGACUUAAUUUGAACGUUGAUGAGUCACUCAAAUACUGUAUUUGACACAUAUCUGGUAUUCGAUUACACGAACACCGUUUGACGAAGACGCGAACUUUCUUGCCUUUUCUUUUUUUGUAUUAUUUCGUUACGCGAUUCUCGCGUCAGCAUGUGGACGUGUUUCGAAAGGUAAGCCGGGAAACUGGAGUUUACGCUAGCGGAUCAAAGAAAGUCAAUGCCGUGACGUUUCCACGAGCUUUUUUACGGUAUACUCGAAAUCCCGUUACGCGAGAUUUCGCCUCGACCGCGGUGAACUAUUUAAAAAGGAGCGACAAAGCGUGUCGAAAGAGGUCGAUAACCGGCAUUCGAUACGUGGAAUUUAAGAAUCGCAAGAAUUCGACGCGAGCCAAUCUUUUUUUCCAUGUAAAAUAAUAAUUUCUGGAUCAACUUUCAUUGUAUUCAUCACCAAAGAAGAAAAUCGUGUUAAUAGUAAUAAAAUUUUAUUUCAUUCUCUAUGAUACGCGAUAUCAUUUACGAUUAAAGGAAAUUAAAUCGUAACAUCAAUUAUUAUUGAUUAUGCGUGCGUGUAGAUGAAAUACUAGAUUAGAUUAUCGACUAUCGCCCGAUUACUGUGCAUAAUCGAAAUAACAUUUAAUACGAUAUGUUUAAUACUUUUAUCGCUUACUUUGAUAUCAUCUCCCGAUUUCCUCGUACACGAGAGAAAAGAGUAGUACUUUAGGUUGGUACGAUACGAAAGUCAUCAUCGAGGAGAGAGGAAAAAAGGGAUAUACCGAGGGUUAUACAGAGGAUACUACUCGAAUAGGAACCGGAACUCGCACUCCGUGCUCGGAAUUGAUUACACGAUUGCACAUGUACAGUUGUGCAUAUGAAUCAGAUAAAAGGGUGUCGGGGGAGUUAGAAGAAACACGAUGCGCGAAGAGAGGUUAUCGGCUCCGUCAUUGAUUUCUUCGUCGCACGAAAAUAAAUCUCCAUAUCAGGGGGAGAGCAUAUACGCGCUCACACGAGUAGGCAAACAGAGGCAGACGCUUUUAAAACCGCAGAGACUGAUCGAAUCGAAAAUCAUCCAACAAGAAUAACGCCUCGAAGAUGAUCCCACUUGACAUGAUGAACGAUCGCUAAAAUCCAACAUCUUAGAUUUUCUAUCUACCUAGCAUCCUGGUAUAUUAUACUCGUUAGUCACAUAUCUGCUGCGAAUCUCUUGUUCUGCGAUUAAUUAAUUAAUUAACGAAAAAAAAUUAUUGGGAUGGAACACAUGGAUUACAUAUUUCGAAUCUUGGUAAUAAAUUUAAGUUGUUUUUUUAAAGAAAAAACAAAAAAUAACAAAAUUCAAACAAGAGGAAAUUAGAUUUAUACUUAUGUAUAACCAAUUCGUGGAAGAAUGCUAUCUUCUUCCAACAAUCACUGAUCCUUAACUCACUUUGACCUAGCUAACCUUGAAUUGAUCAACUUCGUGUCGCAUAUUGUAUUAAGAAUGCGAAAUAAAAAUACAAGUACCCAAGUACCCAAGUAACCACAAUAAAUAAGACGAGUUCAUUCUGACGACCUUGUAUUCUGCUUUGAGAAUCUUUCGCUUCUAUACAAUACACAUCUCGUAUCUGCACGUUCAUGAAAGAAAUGUAUUCUACGAUAUCGUAAUAUCACCAAAUGAACAAUGGGCGAUAGUAUAGAAGUUAAAGAACUCUAACAUAAAAAUAUUAUUUAUUCAACUAAUAACCAUAUUGAAGAUUUAAUAUUGAUCGGAUAUCGGUUUAUAUAUUUAUUCUAUUCAAUUUCCAAUUACGAAAUGAACUGCGUAAAUUGGUAAUGUCAGAUGACGCAUAAUUUGUAUCGAGGCAGGCAGAAAUUUGACGCUGUCAACGAGAACAAAAUUUUAUAUUGGGAUCAUAUAAACUAUAUCGAUUUGGACAAUCAAAAAUACGAAAAUAUAUAAAAUUUCAAAAUUCGAUGAAACAAACUAAAAUAUGUUCGUUCAAAGAUUACUACUGACCCACGUGCUACGAAAUACAUUUUCAUAGAACCGGCGUCACCCGGCGAAUCGUUGUUAUCAAACUUUUGAUUCAUGAUCGAAGUAAAGCAAAUCAACGAGUAAAAAAUAUAUUUAUCGGUAAUUGAAAGGCGAUUAAAAUUAGAGAAAACUUUUCACUUACUUUUAACGAUGAAAUAUCCUGGAAAAAUCUGACAGAAUACGGAUCCCAAGCACUUGCAACAACACUUCACUCGAGUAUGCCGGUCACUGCGCUUGUGCGUUUAAAUUCACUAACCUCGACAAAAAUACUACCGCCAUCUUACGCUUUAAAACGCCAACUAGUUUAUCCACAAAGCCCGUUCACAAAGGGACGGUUAAAUUUCUGUUUUUAUUUAUAUCCAGACGAGAAACAAAAUAGUAGUUAAUAAUUAAUUUCAAAUACAUAACCGACAGUUUCUUUUUAAUUAUAAUAUUUAUAAUCAUGAAAUAUCUAAAUUAUAUAUAUUUAUAGUAUAUCAUUAUAUCGAUAUAAUAUUUAUAACCUUAAGUACUUACGCAUUACGAUUCGGGAUGCUGGAAAUUUUUAUUAACUGUUAUUUCUUUUUAAUUGAAAUCAUUUUUAGAACUGUUAUUACUUGUAAACUUAAUAAAUAAAAUAUUUUGACAUAUCACAAAUAAGACGUAGAAAAAUUGAUAUUGAAUUUAGUGAUUAUAAAUACAUAUUUGGUUGUCAUAGAAAACAAAAAAAAAAAAAAAAUGAAAUCUAAUUAGUUAAAGAAAAUUAAAAUUAGUUUUAAGAAAAAAGUAAAAAUUUAAAUACUUAAAUUUUUUAUUAUUAUAGUUACAAAAUUACACCAUGAAAACUAUAUCCAUAUUUUUUUUUCCAUGUCCAAAAUAAAGAAAUCCGUAAUGCGGACUAUUCAAUUUAUGAUAAAACAUCAUACCUGGCCAAAAGAGAUUAUGUAAAAUUAUUAAUUUUUCAUGUAUAAGCUGUAGAUUCCAACAUCCUAAAAGAAAAUAUAAAUUAUACAAAAGAACACAAUCUUUUAAGUGUUUUGUUUAAAAGUUUGUUUGUUUCUUUAAAAUUUUCUAAAUUUUCUAGAAAAUACCUUGUGGUACAUCUAUAUCAAUUGCAUCUAAAAAAUCUAUCGCAUAAUUAUAAUCAGGUCUCGUAAGUAAAUUAGUAUUCCAUUUUUGUUGCGGUAAACGUGCAUGUAAAUAAGAUUUUAAAUAUGAUGCAUCUAUACUAUCAAGUCCUUCGAAACUUAAAUUUUCAAUUAUAUCUCCAUUGGGACAUUUAAACCAAGCACCACGAGGAAUUAUCAUGCUAUCUUCGUUAAUUAUUUCUACUGUAGCUGCCAAUCUAUCUUCUUCUUUCAAUUCUCUUGGGUCUUCAUUUGGCGGGAACGGAGGAUUAAUAUUAUAAACGUUAGUGACUAUAGAAGGAUCACCCUCGAAUUUAUUAAUUGUAAGAGGUGUUAAGAAUCGUGCGCACUUAUUUGCUUUUGAUAAGAUUACCUGUAAUAAUACACCUGAUUGUUCAAACAAUCUGUUUCAAAACCAAAUGCGAUAUGAUAAUCAUUUCGAACUCCAUAGAUUUUACCCCAAUAAUAACACUUCUGAAAAUGAUUUUCUUGUUGUAAUAUU